CCCUCCUCUGGAGUUUCACAGGGAGCCCAAGAUACAGGAUGCUAAUGAUGUUAGACGAUGAUCUAAAAGAAGAUGGCAGCGAUUUGUUCAAGUGGUCCUCUGAACUGAUGAAGUUGUGAUGUGUCAGAGAUUGAGAAAGCUAGACUUCGUCAUCCUCCCCACUUCAGGCAGCGUUGCAGGAGUUUGAACAGAAAAAUCCCAUUCAUCUCUAUUGGAUGUUAACUGCGUUGCUGUAUAAAGAUGAUAGCCAGAGACUGAUAGGACCAACCGAGAUUAAUAAGAGCUGGAGAAAAGGAGGUGUGCUGCUAAGAACAACUAGCAGAAGGCCAUCCUGGCAGCUUUGCACCAUCUACAGCAGCUAUAUUACUGUAAGGCGUUCCCUAAGAAGCCUGUAACUUCCCACCACUUCCAAUAGUCUGUUAACAUUGAUUUGUUUAUGUUGAAGGUUACUUGGAAUUAACAGCAGCAUAAAUUUCCUUAAAAUACAAAUCUAAGACGGAUUGGACCUAGCUCCUAAUUUUAACAGAGAUUUGCCACAGAACAGGAAGAUAUACAUUAUUCUAUGCCUGGUAGUGAACAAAUGCUGCUGGGCUAGCAUUAGUCACAAUGCUAGCCCAGCAGACUCAAUCCAGGCAAACCUAGAUAAAGAAAAUCGACCUUGAAGUUCCUUAUGAGCCAUUUAAGUCUUCACGCAGACAGUAUUCAAGUUUGACUAUACGGUCACUUGUGUUGAAAGAUGUUUGGCAGUCAGAGCAUUCCAAGACAUGCAAAUACAUCUGGGAUAUCUGGAUCCAGGAUAAAUUGAAACACUUCAUGACUUUUUACCUUUGUGUAGACCUGCUUACUCUUCAGUCCUUUAUGCUUGACUGUACUUCGCAUAAGGAAAUGUGGGCACUAGUAUAGGAUAAUCUUGAGAAACAGAAUAUGAUAAUGUGGAGAGCAACUUAGUAAUUGAAAAGUAGUCAUAAUAAGACUACGUUCAGUUUAAUUUCGCUUAUGCCAAAAGAAAACAAGGUGAUUGUGAGUCAUUACCAGUGUGAACAGAGAAAAGAGAGGCUUUUGAGGUUCACAAGUCAGAGCCAUUUUGGUUGCUAAUUCUAACUUCCCUUGUAACUUAAUUAAACUG